CGGGGAAUAUUGCACAAUGGGCGAAAGCCUGAUGCAGCAACGCCGCGUGAGCGAUGAAGGCCUUCGGGUUGUAAAGCACUUUUAGAGGGAAUGAGGAAGGACAGUACCCUCAGAAUAAGCCUCGGCUAACUACGUGCCAGCAGCCGCGGUAAUACGUAGGAGGCGAGCGUUAUCCGGAUUUACUGGGCGUAAAGCGCGUGUAGGUGGUUCUGUAAGUAGGGCGUGAAAGCUCCUGGCUCAACUGGGAGAGGCCGUUCUAAACUACAGAACUAGAGGAUGGUAGAGGGAGGUGGAAUUCCAGGUGUAGCGGUGGAAUGCGCAGAUAUCUGGAGGAACACCAGUGGCGAAGGCGGCCUCCUGGACCAUUCCUGACACUCAGACGCGAAAGCUAGGGUAGCAAACG
rnacentral:rRNA from 1 species